GGGAUUGGGGGGGGGGGGGGCAUGGGACUAGCUUUUAUUCCAUGCGGUGGUUAAAUGUUCUAAGAGCAGCACAGAACGCUUAUCAAAGGUCAAAGGUGUGCUACAUAAAAGAAAAGUUGUAUAUUUGCAUGAUUCUGUAUUUUUCAGAGACAAAAAAAAUAUAUAUUGUUGUGUACAAUGAGUGGAUGUACCAUGAAACUUAAAAAAAUGUAGGGGCUGUAAAAUCAUCUUUUCAGUACGAUAUUACGGCCACAUUGGGGGGUGAAAAAAUCGGAAAUUUCAAGAAUAAAGUCGGAAAUGUAUGGGAAUAAAGUCAUACAAUUACAAAGAAUAAAGAUAUACAUUUUUGAGGAAUAAAGUUGAAGAUUUUCGAAAUGAAUUUAUGAGGAAUACAUUCGUAAAUGUACGGCAAAAAAGUCGUACAUUUACAAGAAAAAAGUUGUAAUAUUAUGAGAAUAAAGUCAUACAAUUACGAAGAAUAAAGUUAUAAAUUUAUGAGGAAUACAUUCGUAAAUGUACGGCAAAAAAGUCGUAAAUUUACGAGAAAAAAGUUGUAAUUUUAUGAGAAUAAAGUCGUACAAUUACGAAGAAUAAAGUUAUAAAUUUAUGAGGAAUACAUUCGUAAAUGUACGGCAAAAAAUCGUAAAUUUACAAGAAAAAAGUUGUAAUAUUAUGAGAAUAAAGUCGUACAAUUACGAAAAAAUAAAGUUACAAAUUUAUGAGGAAUACCUUCGUAAAUAUGCGGCACAAAAAUCGUAUAUUUACGAGAAAAAAGUUGUAAUAUUAUGGGAAUAAAAAUACGCCAAAAAAGUCGUAAAUAUACGAGAAAAAAGUUGUAAUGUUAUUGGAAUAAAAUCGUGCAAUUACGAAGAAAAAAGUUAUAAAUUUAUGAGGAAUACAUUUGUAAAUGUACGGGAAAAAAGUCAUAAAUUUACGAGAAUUUUUUUUUUAAUUACGAGAAGUGGUAAUAUUAUUUUUAUUAUUUGUAACGCAGCUGCAAAAUCAUCUUUAGCUAGCCCUUUGCAUUUUUGCCAUUACAUAAAGUUACGUGUUUUAUUCUCAUAUAAAUGUAGGACUUUUUGCUCAUAAUAUAAAGUUGAGUUUGGAGAUUUUUUUUGUAAAUUUACGACUUUAUUCUCUGACAGGCAUUGAUUUUUUUUUUUACAUAAUUUUUUUUCUCAAAUUAAUUUUUUAUGGUAAAUGUACAACUUUAUUCUUGGAAAUGUACGACUUUAUUCUUAAAAUAUCCGAUUUUUUUUUAUGUGGCCCUAAUAGGCUGUUGUAUUUUUUUUAGCUUUUUUUUUUUUA